UCUUACGGCCAUACCACCCUGAGCAUGCCCAAUCUCAUCUGAUCUCGGAAGCUAAGCAUUUUUUUUUAUCUCUAAUUUCUCGGAUGGGAGCCCGCCUGGGAAUACCAGGUGCUGUAAGCU
rnacentral:rRNA from 1 species